rnacentral:rRNA from 1 species
UACGUAGGGGGCAAGCGUUGUCCGGAUUUAUUGGGCGUAAAGAGCGUGUAGGCGGCUGGGUAGGUCCGCUGUGAAAACUCGAGGCUUAACCUCGAGACGUCGGUGGAAACCAUCCAGCUAGAGUCCGGAAGAGGAGAGUGGAAUUCCUGGUGUAGCGGUGAAAUGCGCAGAUAUCAGGAAGAACACCCGUGGCGAAAGCGGCUCUCUGGGACGGUACUGACGCUGAGACGCGAAAGCCGGGGGAGCAAACAGG